UACGUAGGGUGCGAGCGUUUGUCCGGAAUUACUGGGCGUAAAGAGCUCGUAGGCGGCUUGUCACGUCGGGUGUGAAAGCCCGGGGCUUAACCCCGGGUCUGCAUUCGAUACGGGCUGGCUAGAGUGUGGUAGGGGAGAUCGGAAUUCCUGGUGUAGCGGUGAAAUGCGCAGAUAUCAGGAGGAACACCGGUGGCGAAGGCGGAUCUCUGGGCCAUUACUGACGCUGAGGAGCGAAAGCGUGGGGAGCGAACAGG
rnacentral:rRNA from 1 species